UACGAAGGGGGCUAGCGUUGCUCGGAAUGACUGGGCGUAAAGCGCGCGCAGGCGGUCUUCCAAGUCAGUGGUGAAAGCCUGGAGCUCAACUCCAGAACUGCCAUUGAAACUGUUAGACUUGAGUACGAGAGAGGUGAGUGGAAUUCCCAGUGUAGAGGUGAAAUUCGUAGAUAUUGGGAAGAACACCAGUGGCGAAGGCGGCUCACUGGCUCGUAACUGACGCUCAGGCGCGACAGCGUGGGGAUCAAACAGG
rnacentral:rRNA from 1 species